UGGUCGCUUCUGUAUUGGUUCAUCCAUUUUCAGGGGAAGUGAAACACAAAAUGCCACUCUUUCUGCAGGAGAUCCCUUGUGUGGCUCAGAUAGUGAAGAUGCAGAACAACUAGGUGGAGAUCACACAUCCUCCCCAACUCCUUCAACUAUGGCACAUGAACCUGGACAGCAUUUAGGAUGAGCUCUGAGACACAGUUCAGGGCUGUUGCGGUCACUGAAGCUUUAAUUGAAAAUUGCUGAAACAUGGACACCUAGUGGAGACACCCCACUCUGACAGUUCUUUUUCCAGUUGAAAUACAGUUUAAAAAUGGACUUUUACUGAUGGUCUUGCCCGAACCUGGAGUUUUGUCCUUGUUUCUCACUGCCCUGCCCAGGUGAGGGCAUGAGGUGAAGGUGAGAGUCAGAAUUUGACAAAACAGAAGCUGUACAUCAUUUAACAACUCACCUAGGGGAUUGAUGAAGCAGAAAAACUAAUGACCUACAAAAGAACAAAUGUUUCAUCACCAAAAGAUAAAUAAAUCUGAUGCUGGAGCUCA
rnacentral:lncRNA from 1 species